rnacentral:rRNA from 1 species
UACGUAGGAUCCAAGCGUUGCCCGGAUUUACUGGGUGUAAAGGGUGCGCAGGCGGACUUGUUAGUCAGAGGUGAAAUCUCACGGCUCAACCGUGAAACUGCCUUUGAUACUGCAGGUCUUGAAUUGGGGAGAGAGUUGUGGAAUUCCGAGUGUAGCAGUGAAAUGCGUAGAUAUCAAGUGGAACACCAGUGGCGAAGGCGAGUCCCUGGACAACUCCUGACACUGAGGCACGAAAGCUAGGGGAGCAAACAGG